GGCUUAACACAUGCAAGUCGAACGGUAGCAGGUAAGUACUUGUACUUAUGCUGACGAGUGGCGGACGGGUGAGUAAUGCUUGGGGAUCUGGCUUAUGGAGGGGGAUAACGACGGGAAACUGUCGCUAAUACCGCGUAGAAUCGAGAGAUGAAAGUGUGGGACCUUCGGGCCACAUGCCAUAGGAUGAACCCAAGUGGGAUUAGGUAGUUGGUAGGGUAAUGGCCUACCAAGCCGACGAUCCCUAGCUGGUCUGAGAGGAUGACCAGCCACACCGGGACUGAGACACGGCCCGGACUCCUACGGGAGGCAGCAGUGGGGAAUAUUGCGCAAUGGGGGCAACCCUGACGCAGCCAUGCCGCGUGAAUGAAGAAGGCCUUCGGGUUGUAAAGUUCUUUCGGUGACGAGGAAGGCGUGAUGUUUAAUAGGCAUCACGAUUGAC
rnacentral:rRNA from 1 species